ensembl:snRNA U4 U4 spliceosomal RNA
ACCUUUGCGCAGUGGCAGUAUCGUAGCCAAUGAGGUUUAUCCGAGGCGCGAUUAUUGCUAAUUAAAGAAUACUGGAUUGUAUAAAUAAA